UCCGCGAAAUAGAAAGACCAUAUACAUAAACUAGAAUUGCAAUUCUGUGUUAUUAAUAAUCGUAUAUAUCAGAACUGUAAUACGUAAUAUACCUUACAUAUGCCAUGAGGUACCAAACUGUGUUUAAUAAAAGCUGGAUGGAAAAAAAAAACAUUGGACACGACAUCAGGAAUCAAAUGUUAAUUAAAUGUUUUAACUCAUGUUACAAUAUAUUAAUAAAUAUGUUGUAUGAAUACAAGAUAAUUUAUUAAAGAUAAUGCAGGAAAUUAAAGAAAUAAAUAAAAUAAGUGCUUUAACUUUAAUGUAGUCUUCCGGAAGUGAGCUCAAAAAACUGACGAGACGGGAAAAAAAAGAGAAAGAGACGUACUCUUAACGCGGUGCGACAGCUUUAAGAACGAUAUAAAAGAGUAAUAUAGGAAUUACACUUUGCUGUAAUACUUACCGUAGGUUGGAUGUAGGAGAAAAGAAAAAAAGUUGAAACCUGUGAUCGCAAGCCCUAAAAGAAACAAAAGGAGAGAUAUUAAUUAACUGCAAUUUUAAGCGGUGACAUAAGACAUUCAAGCUAAAACCUAUACGGUGAAAUUGUGACUUAUGUAACUUUACUGAAGGGAUUGGUCGUUUUUUUCCCCCGGUUUUUAUUUGCUUAAAUCGUUGAGUGCACUCGUGGAUGGAAAAAUCCUCACACUUGGAACAGAAGUCAAGAUGGCGAGCCUCCCAAACGGAAAAGACGACUUGGAGACGGACGGUUAAUACAGAUCUCGACCUCCGGAUUUUGACACGGUUGGAUGACCAUUUCUUCUUUUUUUUCCUUCUUUAAGCAGCAUUUGAAUACGUUCGUUCCCGGAAAAAGAAAGACUGGGUUGCUUUAUUUUAAUUUUCAUAGUUUAAUUAAACUGAACUCUGGUAAGAAUAGGAAAAGUUACCAUUUAUUGUUUUCAUUGCGUAGGUAUAUAUUUGAACCAAUUGUGAAUGUGUUGAAAAGAGGUUAUGUUUAAGUGUUGAUUGCUUGAUGUCCGAAAUGGUAAAUUGCAUUUUUUAUGUUUAAUUUGGGUGUUGACGAACUAAAAAAAAACCAUUUAAGAAGCCAAAAUCACUAUUUAUACGGAGUUAAACCAAAUAGUUACCUCAUCAUAUGCAGUCAAAUAUUAGAUAUAAAUUAAACGUUUAAAAUAAUUAGUUUCCAUUUAAUUAGAAGAGAAUUAAUGUCAAACUGGUGAAUAAUACUUUGACUGAACUCUAUACAGAACAAAAUUAGACAACUAAAAUAGGAAUUUAGAUCCCACCAAAAUACGAGAAGCUAACUAAAUAGCCCAAAACAUUUCAAUUACUGUUUUAUUUCACUUUAUGUCAAUUUCUGUAUGUGACUACGCUGUAGGAGCAUAUGCACAUUUAUUUUGUUUUUUCCCUUAUAAACUAAAGUUAAGAAAAAAAUUCAAACCGUUUUGUUUACUGCCUCCCAUUCCGUACCUAGAGCCUGGCUUAUGGACUAGUGUGGCAUUAUCAAAAGGUAGGCGCCACACAGGUGUUACACUAAGAACUGGACCUUGUGCUACUCAUCAAAAUGUAAGGGUGACCCAGAGUACAGGGAUCAGUACGUAUUUUGUGUGUCAUUAGUAUAGGCGUUGGUUUCACCUUAAGUGCAGAAAGUCAACUGAUUGUUUAGUCGUUGCUUGUACCAACUACCACAAAUGUCUAAUGUGUUCUAGCUGAAUCAGUGAAUGCUGUGAUUGAGUUUUGACUGGGAAUCUUUCAUAUCUAUAAAAAAAAAUCUGAUUUUUAGUUUUACAUACUAAGAAUUACAAAAAAAACAAAAGUUGUGCCAACUUAUUCUCUUUUGUUCAGAUGAUUUAUCUUUCAUAAGCGUAAAAACUUAAAUUUUAGUUAAACGUGCUAAGAAUUCAAAAUCGCAAAAUACGUGCCAUCUAAUUAUUAUAAAUGAAGAUAACAAAACAGUCAAUUAGCAUGUUUAUUUAAAACAUGAUAGUAAGAAAUAAUAGCAGACAGAUUUUGAGGAUCCCUGUGAGGAAUGACAGCAAACUUGACUGUGAAGGGCAGCUACCAGUUGUGGAACCUAUAGGGAGCUGGGGGUCACAGGCCUUGCUCAAGGGCCCCCACAUGCGCUGACACUGGGCUUGAACGGGUGGCCUUUGAACCAUGAGUAGAGAGGCUUAGCUCACACAGCCACAUGCUCAGGUGUAUGGAACAUAAGCUGAAUAAGGUGCUAACACAAAAACACUGUUUACAGAGUUUUGGCAGCGUCAUCAUCCAGAGGUGGCAGCAUGUAGCUCAGUGGGUUAAACCUCUGUGCCUCUGACCCAAAGAUUGCCUGUUCAAGCCCAACCAGCACUUGGGCACUGUUUUUGUACCCCUGGGCAUUGCGAUAGGGUGAAGCCUUAGCAUGCUAAACUCAAAUUUUAAAGUCUUUACACAUAUGAAAGAUAAAUCUAAAGAAAAGAGAAUAGGUUGGUACAACUUUUGUUGUUAGCAAUUCUUAGUAUGUACAACUAAGUUUUUAUAGAAAAAAAAUAUCUAAAAAAUGUAUCUAAAAAAAUUACUCAGCAUAACAAUAGGUGGUUUUCUUCAAAACUUAAAAUUUUGAGUUGCCUUCAAAACCCAAGUGCAAUAAGUUGCCUUCAAAUUUUGUCUUAACUUUUUGAUUUUUUACAGUGCACAGAUUGAUGCAGUAACUGACUACACUGUAAAAUGUAAUAUAAAAUUUAAUAGACAAUAUUGAGUUGAUACAACUUAAUUUUUAUAAACUUGCUAAUAACACUCAUCUUAAAUAAGUCGUGUACUUUUAGGUGUAAAAGCUUAAGCAAAUUAAUGUCCUUUAGCUGAAUUAACUCAAUAAUAGUAAGUAUGUAAACACUGUGGCAGUGGGGGGCGAAAUUUCAGUCCACUUUACACAGGACAACAGAUUAGAGGUUUUUUUUCUUCAUACACUGUAUACACUUACUCUUGGUUUGGUAGCUGAUUGAGUUAUAAUAAUCGUAUAAUAGAAAUGAUCAAGUAGUUUGUGUUUAUUUGUUGAUGUACAGUAUGAGUUAUUGUAAUAAACUGAAAUGUAAUCCAUUUUAGAAAAAUAAACCAAAAAAUUAAAUAAUACUAAUUUUGUCUCAAUGAAUAAAAAAAGAUAAAAGAACAAUAAAGUAGUACAUUUUGGUGAAGCACAUCAUCAGAAUUUAUUUAAAAAGCUCGGGCAUGCGCAGAGAACUGCUCAACUACUGUAUACUUGGCGCGUUUUACGGCAGUUAUUUCGUGGACAUGCCACAUCAAGUUUAGGUGCAGCCUGACGUCAUCUCAGCAGUUGUACUCAUUGUUGUCAUCAUACCGGUGACUGUGGUACUUGGCACACUAAUUUGGUGAGUACCUUUCUUUUCAUCCUUUUUCACAUUGUUUUACUUUUGUUAAUGAGCGCCAGUCUGUUGUGCUUGCAUGGGAGAGAACUUAAUUGUGCUAAACUCUGCCACAGCCUUUGACCAUUAUCGCAGAAAGUCUGUUGCUUUUGCCUCUUGUCCAUUGACACCAUUCCUUAAUUUGGGAUGAGAACAGGAAAGUGUUAAACUCACCCACAAUCUCAUUGUGAAUGAAACAGUGUGUUUAUAUAUUUGUCUUAAUGUAUAUGUUUGUAGAGUUGCGUGGAGCGAAUGUAAUGUGCAGAACAGUAAGUGAUCUACUAGCUGGCUUGCAAUAAUUUUCUCAGUUGUCUAGUCAAGGAGGGAUAAAAAAAAAUCUUUAAUGUUAGCUGCGCUGGAUCCCUGAUAACCUGCAUUUGAAAGUCGCACGCAUUCAGCGUCCACUGUCGACGUCAUGCUAAGUAGCGCAUGUUGAACAUGACCUGCUUUAGUAACAUAGGACAUGAUUCUCAAACAUUGUGGCAAACCGCUUUAUCUAAUCUAAUCAUACUCCUUUAUGUAAUUAUUUUAAGUACAGUUUUAAGGCCUAUCCUGACGAUAAUGACUUCAGCAGUGUUGCAAAAGCACUAAUCAGCAAGCACCCAUGCCUCACUGAGCCUGGUCCUCAGCCUGGAUGGUAUGGGUGGAAGAACAGCCUUAUGUUUAAGAUGGCAUAUUUUCGCACCAAGUUUUGAAAAGCUGGAUGUGAGGAUGUUGCAGUCAAUGUUGGUAAAAGAAGCAGAGCCAAUGCAGAGGGAGAGGCAUCUAGUAAGAAUAUCAAAUGGCCAAGAAGAGGUGAAGCUAAUUAUCUGCCUAAUUUGCCUCAAGGCCAUGAUGAAAAAAGCCUUGAAGAUGACAGAAAUAUUCUCCUAGAGGAGAUGAAGAAAAAACAACCAAAUGGGUCUCUCAUCUCAAAAUUAAUGGAUCUAACAUUCCCAUUGCGCCAACAAGAGAUAGUGAGAAACAAGGCUGUUGUCCAAGACAUGGCUGAACGUUGGCCAGCACUUUUCAUGGAGAGACAGGUAUUUGCUGAGUUUAACAGAAUUGCCAGUAAGAAUCUUGAAGGAGAUUUCUUUGAGGCUCUGGACCAAUACACACCAAGCUUCAUCCAACUGUUCAGUUGCAAAAAAGGAACUGUUGGAAAGAAACUGACAGAACUGAAGCAGCAAAUUGACUUGCUGGUGACUUAUAACUCUUUUUCAUCAUUGUUGUUCCUAUGUUGUUACUUCAAAGGUGUACCAUGAAAAGUUACCCCCCUGUCUGUGAGGCAUUGCAUCAGACAAGGAUGACCAGAUUCUCAAAAAAUUCCCUUAAUUUCCAAAAAUGUUUAUACACUAGCAUGGGGUGACGAAUGUAUAAAAACUCUGUUAAAGGUUUUUAGAUCAAACAACAUAGUCAACAAUAUAGUCAUUGUGUAUGAGGGGCCGUAUGAGACAUAAUUCAUACUUGGGUCUCACACACAGGAUCAUACUCUCAUACACACACAACUAUACCUGCUUUACAUGAACAAUCAUACUCUCA